rnacentral:misc_RNA from 1 species
GAUGAAGAACGCAGCGAAAUGCGAUAAGUAGUGUGAAUUGCAGAAUUCAGUGAAUCAUCGAAUCUUUGAACGCACAUUGCGGCCAUAGGUAUUCCUUUGGCCAUGCCUGUUCGAGCGUCAUUUACACCCUCAAGCCUAGCUUGGUGUUGGGCGCCUGUCCCGCCGUUUUCGCGCGCGGACUCGCCUCAAAGUCAUUGGCGGCGGCCGUGCCGGCCCCCUCGCGCAGCACAUUUGCGCUUCUCGGAGGCCCGGCGGAUCCGCGCUCCAGCAAGACCUUUCACGACUUGACCUCGGAUCAGGUAGGGAUACCCGCUGAACUUAAGCAUAUCAAUAAGCGGAGGA